rnacentral:tRNA from 1 species
UGCGUGGUAGAGCAGUUGGUAGCUCGCAAGGCUCAUAACCUUGAGGACGUGGGUUCAAGUCCCACCUGCGCAA